UACGAAGGGGGCUAGCGUUGUUCGGAUUUACUGGGCGUAAAGCGCACGUAGGCGGAUCGAUCAGUCAGGGGUGAAAUCCCGGGGCUCAACCUCGGAACUGCCUUUGAUACAGCAAGUCUUGAGUUCGAGAGAGGUGGGUGGAAUUCCUAGUGUAGAGGUGAAAUUCGUAGAUAUUAGGAAGAACACCGGUGGCGAAGGCGGCCCACUGGCUCGAUACUGACGCUGAGGUGCGAAAGCGUGGGGAGCAAACAGG
rnacentral:rRNA from 1 species